rnacentral:misc_RNA from 1 species
GACCUUACAGAAGAUCACAGCUAAAUAAUACUGUUUCCAAGCAGUGUUGUGUUCCUGUGGUGAGUAAGGUGACCAGAGCUCCUGGGGGGAAUUGGGGAUAGGGUCGGCAACGCGUUUGCGAUGCUUCUGGUGUUGUAGGCGUCUAUAAGCUAUGGUAAUCACUUACCAUCAGGUAAGCUGUACGCUUGUUUGCUGACAUAGUU